AAAACAUCGUCACGUAUUCACUAAGAGAUGAGAGUGUGGCCAAGGCAGCUCCUCACCGCGUUCCUAUGGGGACCUUUGGGGUGAAGAUUCGGGCUCUGGGACAGCUUGACUCCUGCUGGAUGAUCACCGAGGGGCAGGAAGUGUGAAGGACCCACACGGCCAUCAUCAGACUUCAUUUUUUCCAGCAGGGAAGCUUUCAAUGAAUCACAGCCAUCUUGUGAGUGGUUACUACAUCCUAUGGGGCUUCACGUUUCUUUUUAAUGGCUUCAAAACCAACUUCUGGAGACAACAGCUGACUCCCAUAUCUUCGGAGUAAGCUAAGACUCUAAAGUAUGCCACGAUGCUUUGUCCUUAAAUGCUGACGUUUAACACCUUUGCCUGGGGUUUCACUCGGUCUCAAAAUUUAUAGCAAAAAUGAUUCGCAUCUGAACGAUCCGGGUGCACUCUCUCCUGAAAGCCAGUGACACUGACAAGCUGCUGCAGAUUCAGACUCUGGAGACCAACCUAGUGUGGGCUUCUCUUCCAAGAAGCAUCGCCUGGGCUCACAGAGCCCUGAGGGGCCAGGACUGAAAGGCACAGAGACUGUCUAUUCCCACUCUUUACAGUUAAGCUGACCCCCUGUCAUCAGCCAGUGAGGACACACCAGUCUUUAGACGUCUCGAUCCAAGGCCUUGGGAAAUGGAAUGCUCCAGUGGAUUUCAAAACACUUCGAGAUGAGUCCAGAUAAAAUGAGGUUUCCUGCUCUUUCAGAUUUUCAAGGACUUCAUUCUGAUUUUCGAAUCACCAAGAUCAUUGUCACCCUGCCUUGCUGUAGGAUUCCAGACAGAAUAUGCCAUCAUAUUUAAGGUUUUCUUUUGAGUAAAGUUAAAUUUAUCAUGUC